rnacentral:lncRNA from 1 species
CUUUGCUAUCAUCAUUAUCAUGAACCAAGUUCAUUAGUGAAUGCUACGUUUGCCGCUGCUCUAUCAAGUUCUCACUAACCGGGAGAGACUGCGAUUCGAAUCGAAUUCCUAUCCAGCUGGAGGUGUAUUCCUAGCACUCACCCAAGCAUCCCCCGUCGGAGAGCCAACGGGUCACCUUUGGUACGACUCAGGAAUCGCGGCUCCGAUCAGCGCCGCACUCCCAGGGCUACCACUCUGCCAGGGAGGUCAGGAAUUUUAACUCACCUGCCUUUGGGCUUACGCCAAUGGUCCCCCGCACACCGCACUUCCUCCGGUAGUGCGCACUUUAUACUUGCCGGUCUUCCGGCCUGAGUCAUACUACUCGGCUUCGCGGUCGGAACGAGUUAUCCGGCCAACUAAGUGUUAGGCAUGCGUUCAACAUGACAAGAGGACGUACAACGGUCGGUCCUUUGCUGCCACAGACGGAGUUACUACAACCUUGCAAAACUCCGCCCGGCUUAAGUCAAUUUAAUCAGGUUCCAUCUGUAACACCCU